rnacentral:rRNA from 1 species
UACGUAGGGUCCAAGCGUUGUCCGGAUUUAUUGGGCGUAAAGAGCUCGUAGGCGGCUCAGUAAGUCGGAUGUGAAAACUCGGGGCUCAACCCCGAGACGCCAUCCGAUACUGCUGUGGCUUGAGUCUGGUAGGGGAACACGGAAUUCCUGGUGUAGCGGUGAAAUGCGCAGAUAUCAGGAGGAACACCGAUGGCGAAGGCAGUGUUCUGGGCCAGUACUGACGCUGAGGAGCGAAAGCGUGGGGAGCGAACAGG